AGCAGCCAUUUUUGGUUCAGCUACAAGUUCACUGUCAA
rnacentral:sRNA from 1 species